rnacentral:rRNA from 1 species
CAAGGGGGGGGGCGUGGCUUAAUAAUGCAAGUCGAACGCACAGCGAAGGUGCUUGCACCUUUCAAGUGAGUGGCGAACGGGUGAGUAACACGUGGACAACCUGCCUCAAGGCUGGGGAUAACAUUUGGAAACAGAUGCUAAUACCGAAUAAAACUUAGUGUCGCAUGACAAAAAGUUAAAAGGCGCUUCGGCGUCACCUAGAGAUGGAUCCGCGGUGCAUUAGUUAGUUGGUGGGGUAAAGGCCUACCAAGACAAUGAUGCAUAGCCGAGUUGAGAGACUGAUCGGCCACAUUGGGACUGAGACACGGCCCAAACUCCUACGGGAGGCUGCAGUAGGGAAUCUUCCACAAUGGGCGAAAGCCUGAUGGAGCAACGCCGCGUGUGUGAUGAAGGCUUUCGGGUCGUAAAGCACUGUUGUAUGGGAAGAACAGCUAGAAUAGGAAAUGAUUUUAGUUUGACGGUACCAUACCAGAAAGGGACGGCUAAAUACGUGCCAGCAGCCGCGGUAAUACGUAUGUCCCGAGCGUUAUCCGGAUUUAUUGGGCGUAAAGCGAGCGCAGACGGUUUAUUAAGUCUGAUGUGAAAGCCCGGAGCUCAACUCCGGAAUGGCAUUGGAAACUGGUUAACUUGAGUGCAGUAGAGGUAAGUGGAACUCCAUGUGUAGCGGUGGAAUGCGUAGAUAUAUGGAAGAACACCAGUGGCGAAGGCGGCUUACUGGACUGCAACUGACGUUGAGGCUCGAAAGUGUGGGUAGCAAACAGGAUUAGAUACCCUGGUAGUCCACACCGUAAACGAUGAACACUAGGUGUUAGGAGGUUUCCGCCUCUUAGUGCCGAAGCUAACGCAUUAAGUGUUCCGCCUGGGGAGUACGACCGCAAGGUUGAAACUCAAAGGAAUUGACGGGGACCCGCACAAGCGGUGGAGCAUGUGGUUUAAUUCGAAGCAACGCGAAGAACCUUACCAGGUCUUGACAUCCUUUGAAGCUUUUAGAGAUAGAAGUGUUCUCUUCGGAGACAAAGUGACAGGUGGUGCAUGGUCGUCGUCAGCUCGUGUCGUGAGAUGUUGGGUUAAGUCCCGCAACGAGCGCAACCCUUAUUGUUAGUUGCCAGCAUUCAGAUGGGCACUCUAGCGAGACUGCCGGUGACAAACCGGAGGAAGGCGGGGACGACGUCAGAUCAUCAUGCCCCUUAUAACCGGGGCUAACACCGGGCUACAAUGGCGUAAACAACAAAUUUGCCAACCCGCGA